rnacentral:rRNA from 1 species
UGGGGAAUAUUGCACAAUGGGCGCAAGCCUGAUGCAGCCAUGCCGCGUGUAUGAAGAAGGCCUUCGGGUUGUAAAGUACUUUCAGCGGGGAGGAAGGCGAUAAGGUUAAUAACCUUGUCGAUUGACGUUACCCGCAGAAGAAGCACCGGCUAACUCCGUGCCAGCAGCCGCGGUAAUACGGAGGGUGCAAGCGUUAAUCGGAAUUACUGGGCGUAAAGCGCACGCAGGCGGUCUGUCAAGUCGGAUGUGAAAUCCCCGGGCUCAACCUGGGAACUGCAUUCGAAACUGGCAGGCUAGAGUCUUGUAGAGGGGGGUAGAAUUCCAGGUGUAGCGGUGAAAUGCGUAGAGAUCUGGAGCAAUACCGGUGGCGAAGGCGGCCCCCUGGACAAAGACUGACGCUCAGGUGCGAAAGCGUGGGGAGCAAACA